rnacentral:rRNA from 1 species
GUCCACGCCCUAAACUAUGUCAACUGGUUGUCGGGGGAUUAACUCCCUUGGUAACGAAGCUAACGCGUGAAGUUGACCGCCUGGGGAGUACGGCCGCAAGGUUAAAACUCAAAGGAAUUGACGGGGACCCGCACAAGCGGUGGAUUAUGUGGAUUAAUUCGAUGCAACGCGAAAAACCUUACCUACCCUUGACAUGUACGGAAUCUCCCAGAGAUGGGAGGGUGCCCGAAAGGGAACCGUAACACAGGUGCUGCAUGGCUGUCGU